CUACAGAGUUCAGUGGGCAGUUACAGCUCUUCUCUGUCCCUCUGGAAAUGUAUAAGCCAACCAGCAAGCAAGGUGGUAGAGCCUGAUUUCCAGCGGGAGCAAUGGGUCCCAAGCCUGCUGCUGCUGGAGUUCUGGACAUGUCCUACAUCCGGACCUUGGUGGAGUAUUUAUAUGCAAAAACCAAAAUCUACCUUUAAGAAGUCUGUGCUUUACCAUAUAGGUAGGCUGAUGACAGCUGAAGAAGACUGUAUUUGCUGAGGAGCAGCAUGAUGGUAGAGAGGAGCAGAGCUCCUGAGGGAGACCUAAUGGUUCCUCUCCUUCCUGCACGGAGAUAAAGACUUAUAAUAAGCGUGCAUGUUCACCAUCUGGCUCUGUGCAUGUGGUCCUUAUGGAGGGGAAAGCAGCGCAAUCUGUAAAUGAUCAGGAGCCACGGCGCUCUCUCCAGAGAAUCCACGAUGCAAUCAAGGUGACAGAUGGCAUGGCCACUGCUGUGGCCUCAUGGAGAAGAUCAAAAUCACCUUCAAUAAACUCUGACUGAAAUGGGCAUGAGCACCUCAAAAAAGUCAGUUUGUCAGUCAAACUGCGGCAGCAAGCUGCAUUGGGGAAACAUAGCGGCCAGCUCUCUGUUUUCAAUCGUUUCCGUCUGACUGGGCCUGAACUAUGAUCUUUCUCAAAUUGUCCUUUCUGUUUAGCUGAAGCAGGCCAGCAAAUUGCCAGAUUCAUUGCUUUAUUGAAGAAAAUUGAAAACACGAUGUCCUCAAUUCCGGGGACGCGCGGCUGGCAGGUGCUGGGACACCCAAGCGCUGAGAGUGGGUCCCUGUGUCUUCGGCCCAAGUUUGCUCAACUUCAGGCAGAUUUUUGGAUAUGAAAAUAAAAUGCAAAUGUGUGCCUGGCCUGAAAAGAUCAGCUGGCAACAGAUAUGUAAAGGGUAUUAGGUGUCCAAUAAAUGUGUGUUGAAUAAACACAUGCUUGAAAAGAGGAGGAAGGAAGGAAGGAAGGAAGGAAGGAA